rnacentral:tmRNA from 21 species
UCACUUCACAUUAAGGCGUUUUCGCUUAUAUGGGACCUGUCCGUUUCGGCGGGCUAUGGUGAUAAACUGCGGUGUGUAAUAGACGCAACGGACCCGGGGGCAGUACCCGGCGGCUCCACCAAAAAGCGCAUAUUUACAGGCGCUUCCUGAUGGGGCCGAACCAGGAUCGACGUGUGUUGAAAGGCAUUGUUUUCACCCGGGCUGAGUAUCCCGCAAAACUGUUCAAAACACACAAGUGCCAACGAUAACGAAGCACUCGCUCUCGCAGCGUAACAUGACGGCCUAACGGCCUAACGUUACAAAGCUAAAGCGCGGUUGGACCCACCGGGCAACAGAAGCGGAUUCC